GGGGUCUAAUACCGGAUACAACCACUGACCGCAUGGUCGGGUGGUGGAAAGCUCCGGCGGUGCAGGAUGAGCCCGCGGCCUAUCAGCUUGUUGGUGAGGUAGUGGCUCACCAAGGCGACGACGGGUAGCCGGCCUGAGAGGGCGACCGGCCACACUGGGACUGAGACACGGCCCAGACUCCUACGGGAGGCAGCAGUGGGGAAUAUUGCACAAUGGGCGAAAGCCUGAUGCAGCGACGCCGCGUGAGGGAUGACGGCCUUCGGGUUGUAAACCUCUUUCAGCAGGGAAGAAGCGAAAGUGACGGUACCUGCAGAAGAAGCGCCGGCUAACUACGUGCCAGCAGCCGCGGUAAUACGUAGGGCGCAAGCGUUGUCCGGAAUUAUUGGGCGUAAAGAGCUCGUAGGCGGCUUGUCGCGUCGGUUGUGAAAGCCCGGGGCUUAACCCCGGGUCUGCAGUCGAUACGGGCAGGCUAGAGUUCGGUAGGGGAGAUCGGAAUUCCUGGUGUAGCGGUGAAAUGCGCAGAUAUCAGGAGGAACACCGGUGGCGAAGGCGGAUCUCUGGGCCGAUACUGACGCUGAGGAGCGAAAGCGUGGGGAGCGAACAGGAUUAAAUACCCUGGUAGUCCAC
rnacentral:rRNA from 1 species